CGUCACACCAACUAGAACAGCAUCUCCAGGAUUCAGCUGUGUAUCUAUGAACGAGUAACCAACUCCAUCGAGUUCUGUACCCCCUGAACUCAGUGGUUUUCACACCAAUAGAACAGCAUCUCCAGGAUUCAGCUGUGUAUCUAUGAAGAGUAACAACUCCAUGAUUCUGCCCCCUGAAUUCAGUGAUGUUCACACCUCUGACUCUGUCAUCAUCAGCAGGAAGAGAAAGAGAGCAGCUUCUCCACUGCAGCCCCCUGAUCUCAGUGAUGGAUCAGUGCCCUUUGAUCCUGUGUGAGUAUAUUCAUGUAGAGUAAGACUUUCAACACAAGAACACAUAUUGUACACAGAAAUAACAAGACAAAAUGGUUGCAUUUAUUUUAUUUGUACAAUGGAGUUCUUUAGAGAGAAAAAAAAUCUAAAUAAAAUCAAUCAUAAUCUACAUCAAAUCAUGACUUAAAGGAAAACUCUAAAAAAAAGAAAUCAGUAGCCUCUUAGUUAAAUAACACUGCUUUGUUAAACAGUGCACUUUCAAGCUUCUCUCAGUCAUUUCUCUUUUGCAUGUCUAAUAACACAAAAAUUAAGGGAUGCACUAUAUUUUUGUUCACAUGGGUUACCACAACAGUAUUGACAAUAAUCAGAAAUUCAUUUGGCCACACUAGAUUCAUUAUAUUUAAAGGUAGUCUAUUAAUUAGACAAUCUACAGAGACACAAUCUGAAAACAUAUCUCUUUUUCUCAGCAUCAUCAGCAGGAAGAGAAAGAGAGCAGCUUCUCCACUGCAGCCCCCUGAUCUCAGUGAUGGAUCAGUGCCCUUUGAUCCUGUUGGUAGGAAAGCUGACCAGAUCAGAUAUGUGUCCUGUCAGACCUUCACAUCCUCCUACUGUCAGAACCAAAUCAAUCAUCAUGACACAGAAGCAGCUCUACAUCCCUAUUCUCAACCACCAGUGCAUAAUAAUCUGCAGAGAGUCAAAGACCAGCACAAAACCAGCAUGAAGAACAAGUAAGGAGCUUAUUUGAGGGAGUCAGACUACAAGAGAAUCAAACCCUCCUGAACAGGAUUUACACACAGCUGUACAUCAUAGAGGGAGAGAGUGAAGGAGUGAAUGAAGAACAUGAAGUGCUACUGAUAGAGAAAAGUUACAGGACACUCCAAGACACUCCAAUCAACUGCAAUGACAUCUUUAAUCCUUUACCGGAACCAGGAUAUGAGGAGAAGAGAAGAGAGCAGAAAGACAAAAUAAAGACUGUUCUUACUAAAGGAAUUGCUGGAAUUGGAAAAACAGUCUCUGUGCAGAAGUUCAUUCUGGACUGGGCCGAGGGAAAAG
rnacentral:lncRNA from 1 species